CAAGGAAAGGCCAAAAAUACAUCCGAAACCCUGAAAAGUAAAGACAAAUUCAAAAUGUUACGCUUAGAAAGAGGGAGUUAUAAACCUUACUUUAGUACAAUUACUAUAUCUAAUAAGUUGAGAAUCCACAACAGCAUUUACAAUCAUAGAUACUAUUUCUUGCAAUGACAAUACGCAAAAGAAGCCGACUUGCUUUAAAUAGUAAUUCUAUUACAGUAGUGCAAUUAUGCUAGUAUCGCGGAUAAUUGAUGAUCUUAUAGAGAGGAGGUAGGAAAAGCCAUCAUUUUGCUUAAUAAAUUGUGAAAUCUUGUUUUUUUUUAUAUUGAUAAUAGAAC
rnacentral:lncRNA from 1 species